CAGAAGCGUCAGGUUUUAAUUGUCAGUGCAGAAACAUGGAGUUCAGAAACACAGUAAAUACAGAAACAGCUCGUGUGGACACCAGAACACUUAUGAAACACGCCACACCAGCCCAUGUUCAGCUGGUGGAGGACGUUUAUUUUUCAUCUAUCUGUAAAAUCAUGGAAGUCCUUGAAAUUCCACCUGAUCCGUGUUUUUAUGACAGAAAUGUCCUGAACAUGAACACCAUCAUCAUAAAUUCAUCUGAAAGAUUUAAUAAUUCAUGAUCACAACAUUUAAACAUGCUGGAGAACCAGAGAUAAAAACAUUCUGUCUGGAGAAAACCUGACUGUUGGAAGAGAAACGCAACAGUGGAGGUUGAAUCCUGCAGCUGCCGACGUGCCUCUGAGCCCCUCACAAGACAUUUUAUUGUGAAAGGACAACACUGGAUUUCAGAAUUAAAGGUUCUUCUUUUGUUGAUUCCAGCAGCUUCACUCUGAGAUGUUAGACUGAAUUUAACAUCAAACUGAUCCAUCUCCAGCUGAAUGUCUUUUAGAACCAAGAGUUUAAAAGUGAAUCUAUGAAACAUCACAUCAAUCUGAACUGUAUCCCUCACAGUAAUCAGAUUACUUCUAACAGAGUAUUUCCUCUGAUCUUUCUUUCUGGACCUAUGGACUGGGAAGAGAGAAAUCUGACUGAGAGACUCGACAGGGACAGGUUCUGGUUCUGACCAGGUUCUGGUUCUGAUCAGGUUCUGGUUCUGGAUCAGGUCUGGUUCUGAUCAGGUCUGGUUCUGAUCAGGUUCUGGUUCUGGUCCAGCAGCUGCAGGUCGGUGAGAUCAGACUAAAAUUUCAUCACCUGCUCCGUCUGAAAUAUUAAAUUCUGUCUGAAGAAGAAGAAACGAAUAAAUAAAUGAGGAGCUUUAAAAGCAGCAGCAGGACAACCAGAGACGAGCUCUGAUUGGCUCCUCAGAUCAGCUGGUUUCAGGAUGGCUGGGACCACAGUGACACACCUGGACCUCACAGGUGAGGAGAACCGGAACAAACCAUGAGACCCCUGUAGAACCUUUCAGAACCGUUUUCUCAGGUGAAGCUGUUGGAUCCAACAGAACCAGAAACACCUCAACAGGUCAUGAAUGGAAGGAACCCUAAAAUCACCGAAACAGUCUUCAAGUCCUCUAACCAGUGUAGAACCAGGUGGAUGUAUCUGAACUACCUGUCAGGGCCCCCUCCUCUGUCCCAGCUUCAGCUCUGACAGUCAGUUUGGUCCCUGCACCUUUUACUCCUGUGGUUCCUGUGCUUCUCACUAAUAUUUAUGUCUGUUUGCAGUCACCCACUGGUCCGCGCUGCCCGGUGCUGCAUCACUGCCCUGCUUUACAUCUGGACCCCCAGCCUUGCCCAGGAUUACCCUGAGCCCCCUCUCUGGAUUCCCCCCAACCUUGUCAUCUCACCACCUCUCGGACUCUCCCCGGCCUGCCUUUGGAUUCCACCCAGCCCCGCUCAGUGGAUCAGCUCCCCCCCAGACAUUCUCCAGACCACCAUAGCCACUCUCUGCCACCACCCACACCACCGGCGCUGUGCUCCUGACCCAUCGGUCUCCGGCAGCCUGUCCCCCCUCCUCGUCCAGCCCAGUUUGUGAGUCUCAGUUAGUUUAUUCCUGGCUUCAGUUUCAUAGUUAUUCUCCCCUUCCGUUUAGUUCUUCAUUUCCCCCCUUGGUUCUUCCGUUUUGAUAUAAUUUGUGUUUAAAUAAAUCCUGAUUUUCCACCUAGUUCUGCCGUGAGUCUGUGUGUUCUCAGCUUGGGUUCACCCCUGCCGCGUGACACUACCCAGAAAACGGUUCCUUAAAGAACCUGUUGUGACUGAUUGUAGGUUCUGUUGGGUUAAAGGUGAACGUCUUCCUCAGGUGAGUCCUGCUGGUUCUAGAGGUGGAGGUGAUGGAGAACCUCAAGUUCUGAUCAGAAUCUGCUGCUUGAAUCAGGCGGUGAUGAAACGGUUGGAUCAGUUCAUGAAAAGAUAAACGAGACACCUGGAUGGAUCGAAACUGAUCUGGAGUCAGUUUCUACCACAAUUCAGAUGUUUCUCCUCCUAAAUGUCAUGGUUCUAUCUGCUGGACUGAUGAAGUUCUGAAAAAGUCCAUUAAAAAGUGAUAAAUCUGGACCCACCUCUAUGGACCUCAAGGACCUGGAAUGUUCUAAGUGAGACUAAAC
ensembl:lncRNA